GCCUUAGUGACACAGCAAGACCUCAUCUGUUAAAAAAAAAAAAAAAAAGAAGAAGAAGAAGAAAUGGAAAAUACCAAAAUGAUGGACUUUAACCUAACCAUAUCAACAAUCAUAUUAAAUGUAAAUGCUCUCUGGUUAAAAGGUGGAGAUUGUCAGAUUGGAUAAGAAAACAAGAUUCUAAUAUAUGCUGCCUGCAAGAAAUGCACUUUAAACGUAAAGAUUCAAGUAAGUUAAAUGUAAAAGAUAGAAAAGAUAUACCACACUAACGCAAGUCAAAAGAAAGCUGCAGUGGCAAUAUUAAUAUCAGUCAAAGUAGAUUUCAGUGCAAAGAAUAUUACCAGGAAUAAAGAAAGAUCAUGAGGGCACACUCCACCA